GGGUGGAUUUUGGCCUUUUCCAGGCGCCCCCUCCCUGGCCCGCUGCCGCCGCCUCGGCCGGCGCCGCGAGGAAAAAGCCGAACUCGCCGCCCUCGACGCCGCCAACAUUUUACCCGCGCGAUCCCGACGGAGAAACCCCGAAACGGCCCCAAAAUCGCCGCCGAAGUCGCCCCUCCCCCCCCCGGACUGGUCGCGGCUCCGCGGCGUCGUCAGCUCCGACAGCGAGUGACUUUUUGGGGGGAAUUCGGGGGGUUUUGGGGUUUUUUUUUUUGCACUCUGUGUUUGCGCUGUAAAUUUGCCAUGGGAAUAAAGGAUGUUGUUGUAAAA